GGACCUUGCGCUAUCGGAUGAGCCUAUGUCGGAUUAGCUAGUUGGUGAGGUAAUGGCUCACCAAGGCCGCGAUCCGUAGCUGGUCUGAGAGGAUGAUCAGCCACAUCGGGACUGAGACACGGCCCGAACUCCUACGGGAGGCAGCAGUGGGGAAUAUUGGACAAUGGGCGAAAGCCUGAUCCAGCCAUGCCGCGUGUGUGAAGAAGGCCUUCGGGUUGUAAAGCACUUUCAGCGAGGAAGAACGCCUGUGGGUUAAUACCCCGCAGGAAGGACAUCACUCGCAGAAGAAGCACCGGCUAACUCCGUGCCAGCAGCCGCGGUAAUACGGAGGGUGCAAGCGUUAAUCGGAAUUACUGGGCGUAAAGCGCGCGUAGGCGGCUUGAUAAGCCGGUUGUGAAAGCCCCGGGCUCAACCUGGGAACGGCAUCCGGAACUGUCAGGCUAGAGUGCAGGAGAGGAAGGUAGAAUUCCCGGUGUAGCGGUGAAAUGCGUAGAGAUCGGGAGGAAUACCAGUGGCGAAGGCGGCCUUCUGGACUGACACUGACGCUGAGGUGCGAAAGCGUGGGUAGCAAACAGGAUUAGAUACCCUGGUAGUCCACGCCGUAAACGAUGUCGACUAGCCGUUGGGGUCCUCGAGACCUUUGUGGCGCAGUUAACGCGAUAAGUCGACCGCCUGGGGAGUACGGCCGCAAGGUUAAAACUCAAAUGAAUUGACGGGGGCCCGCACAAGCGGUGGAGCAUGUGGUU
rnacentral:rRNA from 1 species